rnacentral:lncRNA from 1 species
UCUGCUGGUAUGACCUCUGGUCUUAUACGCUUCUCAAACUCAUUGUCAGGAACAACCUCAGGUGCUUUUGGAGGCAACGGAUUGUCAUUCUUGUUUGAAGGAAGCGAUUUUUCCAGCUCAUUUUUGUUUUCAGGAGAAUAUGAUUCAGGUUUUGACUCGCUCUUUGAACAUACCUCUCCUCCUUUUCUCUUAGAGUCAGUGUUUGUGUCUAGCUUUAAGGAGUCUUCAGAUGAUCUGCUUCCACCUUCUUGGAAUAUACUCAGUCCAUGAGACAAGCUGGGGGAAGAUCAAGAAUCAGUUAGUUAGUAGCUAAGAAUAAAUAAACCGAUUCUAAAACUUAUCGUUUGGCUAUUUCUCAUAGUUUAUAAUAACAUAAUUAAUGAGUAUCAAAAAAAUAAUUUACCUUUUAGAAGAUAUAACAAGCUUUCCAUUUCUGUAUUCAGGUUCUUUGGUGUGUAUCAAAUGAUAAGAUAUUGCAGAAACCACAAUCUGCUCAAUGUGGUUGCUCAAACACAUUGUAUCAGCAUGGCAUAUCGAAGCUAAGUCAUCGCAUUGGAUAUCAUUAGCAGCAAGAACCUCUGCGAUGUGG